rnacentral:rRNA from 1 species
UUGGAGGGCAAGUCUGGUGCCAGCAGCCGCGGUAAUUCCAGCUCCAAUAGCGUAUAUUAAAGUUGUUGCAGUUAAAAAGCUCGUAGUUGAAUUUCGGGAUUGACACAUCGGUCGUGCCUUAAGGGGUAUGAACUGGUGUAGUCAAUUUCUCACCUUCUGGAGAACCGCGAUGCCCUUAAUUGGGUGUCACGGGCAACCAGGACCUUUACUUUGAAAAAAUUAGAGUGUUUAAAGCAGGCAUUUUGCUUGAAUACAUUAGCAUGGAAUAAUAAAAUAGGACGGCAUGAUUCUAUUUUGUUGGUUUCUAGGAUCACCGUAAUGAUUAAUAGGGAUAGUUGGGGGCAUUAGUAUUCAAUUGUCAGAGGUGAAAUUCUUGGAUUUAUUGAAGACUAACUACUGCGAAAGCAUUUGCCAAGGAUGUUUUCAUUAAUCAAGAACGAAAGUUAGGGGAUCGAAGACGAUCAGAUACCGUCGUAGUCUUAACCAUAAACUAUGCCGACUAGGAAUCAGACGAUGUUAAUUUUUUAAUGACUCGUUUGGCACCUUACGGGAAACCAAAGUGUUUGGGUUC